GUGGAUUAGAUACCCGAGUAGUCCACGCCCUAAACGAUGAGGGCUAGGUGUUGGUGGGAAACCCCAUCCGUGCCGAAGCAAACGCGUUAAGCCCUCCGCCUGGGGACUACGAGCGCAAGCUUAAAACUCAAAGGAAUUGACGGGGGCCCGCACAAGCAGCGGAGCGUGCGGUUCAAUUCGAUGCGACACGAAGAACCUUACCAGGGUUUGACAUGCGGAUGGUACCGAACCGAAAGGGGAGGGACCCGCAAGGGAGUUCGCACAGGUGAUGCACGGCCGUCGCCAGCU
rnacentral:rRNA from 1 species